rnacentral:rRNA from 1 species
GACGAACGCUGGCGGCGUGCUUAACACAUGCCAGUCGAACGGAAAGGCCCUGCUUUUGUGGGGUGCUCGAGUGGUGAACGGGUGAGUAACACGUGAGUAACCUGCCCUUGACUUUGGGAUAACUUCAGGAAACUGGGGCUAAUACCGGAUAGGAGCUCCUGCUGCAUGGUGGGGGUUGGAAAGUUUCGGCGGUUGGGGAUGGACUCGCGGCUUAUCAGCUUGUUGGUGGGGUAGUGGCUUACCAAGGCUUUGACGGGUAGCCGGCCUGAGAGGGUGACCGGCCACAUUGGGACUGAGAUACGGCCCAGACUCCUACGGGAGGCAGCAGUGGGGAAUAUUGCACAAUGGGCGGAAGCCUGAUGCAGCAACGCCGCGUGCGGGAUGACGGCCUACGGGUUGUAAACCGCUUUCGCCUGUGACGAAGCGUGAGUGACGGUAAUGGGUAAAGAAGCACCGGCUAACUACGUG